rnacentral:tRNA from 1 species
AGAAGCUUAGGUUCACUCAAACCGAAGGCCUUCAAAGCCUUAAACAAGAGCUAAACCCUCUUAGCUUCUG